rnacentral:rRNA from 1 species
CCCCGCUAGCGCGGAGAAAGUUUCAAUUCAAUUGCUYCCCGACCCAUGGCGAAUAAGGUAGUAGGGCGUAGAUMCGCACCUGGAAUUCAGGGAUAACCCGUCGAAAGACGGGAUAAUACUUGAUGGUCUCGUAAGAGUAAAGAUUUAUCGCUUCCAGAGCGGUCUGCGUAGUAUCAGCUAGUUGGUGAGGUAAAGGCCCACCAAGGCUAUGACGCUUAGGGGCGCUGAGAGGCGGACCCCCACCGAUGGCACUGAGAUACGGGCCAUACACCUACGGGUGGCUGCAGCCGAGAAUAUUCCACAAUGGACGAAAGUCUGAUGGAGCGACGUCGCGUGAUUGAAGAAGUCCUUCGGGAUGUAAAGAUCUUUUAUCGGGGAGAAAGUCUAUUGAUAGUACCCGAUGAAUAAGGGGUUGCUAAACUCGUG